AUGAACUCCCAAUCUAAGAAUUAUUAAGACUUCUAAUGAUUUUAAGUAUUUGACUUCUAUAAUUGCUUAUUUUGUAAAACAGUAUUAGCACACUUCUGAGAGUGCUACAUUUUUAAGUAACAGUGAUUCUCAAAAUGUGGUCCCUAAACCAGCAGUAUCAGCAUUACCCUGGAGCUUUUUAGAAAUAUUAAUUCUCAGCCCCACUUAUAGACCCUCUGAAUCAAGAAUUCUAGGUGUAGGGCCAGCAACCUGUUUUAGCAAGCCAUCCAGGUAUUCUGAUGCACACUAAAGUUUGAGAAUCAGUGUUUCAAAAUGUAGCAGAAAAACAUUAGUGAUUAAGUUUAUAGUAUUAAGGAUUUAUUUUAAAGUUUCUUAUCUUUAAAAAUAGGUGAGGUUUUUUUUAACUGUAGGAAGUACUUGCAAAAAUACACAGUUGUAUAAAGUAAAAAGUGAAGUUCCUUCCUGGAUUAUAGUUUAACCCAGAAGUAACUGGAUUAAUAACUGUUCCUGUAAAUCCUGUCUUUAAGAACACUGAAAGAACCACCUUUUAAAUUCCACUGGAAAGAAACUAUUGUUAACCAGUUGACUAAAACUAAGAAAAUGUUUAGAAGUAAUCUCCAAUCACUUAUCAUUUCUACUCCUUAGUAAUCAACAAAACUUAUGAAAAUGAACUAGGAAAAAUUAUACGUUUUUGAGUCUAGAUUUCAAUAUAAAAAAAAAAUGACUCAAACACUUUCUGAGAGCAGACAUAAGGGCAGUAUGUUCUUUGAAGGGAACAGGGCAGUAGCAUGAUGCCCAAAGAACAAGACCUUUUACCUCUAAAUCCAGCCCUUAAGAACUAGUCUCCGAGCAGGAGGAACAAUUUUAUUAAGAAGAGUAUUUUUGACAGGAGCUGGUAUUUUUAUUUCUGAAAGCUGAUUUUUAAGAACAUCACAGUGCUUCAUGCCUUACAAAAGCAAUCAAAUAUGAGUAAGGAAGGAAAGGGAGAACAAAUCUUUAGGAAGCCUAAAAGUUUCAUCCUGUAUUUAUUCAAAGAGCAUAAUUUUUCACAGUAUUCCUAACUUGGGAUCAAGUGUACUUCCAUUGCUGUGUAUGAAGGACAUAUCUGAUGGAGAAGAGUAUUUAAAAGUUAAGGAGGUAUAAUAAAAAUUCUACUUUAAUACCAUAACCUAACUUUUGCCACUGCAAUCAUAGUAAGGUAUUUAUGAGUUUCCUUACUACUUCAACAUUACGGAAACAAUUUCAAGCACAGUUGGUGUAAAACCACAACAUUUCUAAAGUUUGGGCAAAAAAAUAUGCCCAGGAUCAUAUAAAAACACACUGAGCAGUUUAUUGUAUCUUAGGUUCUUCAUGGUAUUGAAACAUUUACAAGAGGUUAUGUAAAUCAACAGAAAUAAAAUAACUUGGGUGGCAGAAAAAAACUGAGAACUCACUCACUACUGAGUAAUGUUACUGCCAAAUGACCUUUAAUGGCUAAUACCCUUGCUUCCAUUUUUUUCACUGUAGUAAAACCAACUAAGAGAUGGCAAUCAAAAUAAAUUCUGCAGUGUUUCCACCAAACUACUUUCUAUUCAAUGCCCCCAAACAUGCUGUAGAAUGAAAGCAUUCAGUGCUGAUGCCUGGCCAUAAUUCUUUUAAAUUACAUUAUAAAUUUUCAUUCUGUGGUAGCCAUUUUAACCAAUUCUAAGUUAUGUGCAAAAAUAGGGAGCAUUUUGACCAGCUAGCAAGAUUAACUAAAAUGAUGUAGUUUUCUCCCUACAUGCCCUCUACUAGAGGAGCUCAUGAACAACUGAAAAUCCAAAAUGCAAGCUGCAAAAAGGGACAAGGAGCAAAAACAUUAGGACUGAAGCAUGGGCAGGUGAAAGGUUACUAUUGCAUCCCUGUCCCCUCAAGGUGAUCUCACAUCGCAAUUGUUAAUGGUGACUUGGUGGCUCAAAAGAAAAACCCAUCUUAAAAUGAAAAUCGUGAAAAUAUGUGUAAAGUAUGAGUCAUGGAGACUUUAGAAUUACUACCUGAUCAUUCUAGGAAAAAUGACCAACAAAAGCAUCAUUUCUUUCCACAUAAAACUAUAGUGAAGGAAUCUAAUUGUGAAAAAAAAUUCUAGGCAAAGGCAGUUUGCACUGCCACGCUGAAACUCAUUUCUAGCUCCUGGGCUAAACUUGGCCACAAGACCUCACCAACCUCAGUACGGCAGUGAGCUGUUAAAAAAUAUUCAUUCUCUUUCUCCUUCUAGGCAUUAUGCUGCUGAAUUCAGGUGUAGUUAUGUAACUUGUAUUAGCUGCUAAUAUAAAAUAUGAGCAGAG